GGCAUAGUAAAUUUGUAAACAAAAUAAAGCAAACAAAACUGCACCUACGUGUUUAAUAAUCAUGAACUGGACUUGAAUCAACAAUAGUUGAUAUAAAUUCCCAACAACAAAAAAACAGAGGAAGGAGGAAUAAGAAUGAACUAGUAGUGGAAUAGAGUCGGUGGUGGACCCUGGUAGUGUGCAGGAUGCAGCUCGAGCACCCAGGACAAGGUGACUGGUCGGUGUUGUGCAGGACACAUCGUGGGCACGUCGGCGCCGAGGACGCCACAAGGAGCAGGCUGCGGCACGAAUACGCUGGGCUCAAGGUUGGUGUCUAGGUGUAGGCUGCAGCGCCAACGUCGUUAGUCGUAGGAGAAGAGCAAGGAGAUGGGAUCAAUGGAGGCGUCCAGAUUCAAAAAAAACUAGGGAGGAGAGGGAAAGGAGGUGCAAGGGGAUGGAUCCGACCAGAUUCGUUUUCUUUCUGCUCCUGCUAGAUUUUUUGGAUCGUCGAGGAUUAACAAGAGAUUGGGAGGAGACGAAAAGGAGGCGCAACCGGAAGAAUUUUAGUUCGUCAGCAGCAUCGAAUGGAGAUGGGGAAGAUGUCCAUGAAGGUACAGGUGG
rnacentral:lncRNA from 1 species